ACGCGUGGGAACGUGCCCUUCUCUAAGGAAUAACCAUUGGAGACGAUGACUAAUACCUUAUACGCCCUUGGGGGGAAAGAUUUAUCGGAGAAGGAUCGGCCCGCGUUAGAUUAGAUAGUUGGUGGGGUAAUGGCCUACCAAGUCUACGAUCUAUAGCUGGUUUUAGAGGAUGAUCAGCAACACUGGGACUGAGACACGGCCCAGACUCCUACGGGAGGCAGCAGUGGGGAAUCUUAGACAAUGGGCGCAAGCCUGAUCUAGCCAUGCCGCGUGAGUGAUGAAGGUCUUAGGAUCGUAAAGCUCUUUCGCCAGGGAUGAUAAUGACAGUACCUGGUAAAGAAACCCCGGCUAACUCCGUGCCAGCAGCCGCGGUAAUACGGAGGGGGUUAGCGUUGUUCGGAAUUACUGGGCGUAAAGCGCGCGUAGGCGGAUCAGCAAGUUGGGGGUGAAAUCCCGGGGCUCAACCCCGGAACUGCCUCCAAAACUGUUGGUCUAGAGUUCGAGAGAGGUGAGUGGAAUUCCGAGUGUAGAGGUGAAAUUCGUAGAUAUUCGGAGGAACACCAGUGGCGAAGGCGGCUCACUGGCUCGAUACUGACGCUGAGGUGCGAAAGUGUGGGGAGCAAACAGGAUUAGAUACCCUGGUAGUCCACACCGUAAACGAUGAAUGCCAGUCGUCGGGCAGUAUACUGUUCGGUGACAC
rnacentral:rRNA from 1 species